ACCCUGAUGGAGCCAAGAAAUUCUGUUCCACCUCCGGUCCUCCUCCUCCCACGUGUAGCUCUUUCAACAGGCUCAGCGUAGCCCCCCAAGGCCGACAGUACCCACACAACUUAGCUCCGGAAGCUGGAGCCAGGAAGGGCCGUCCAGGGCCAGGGAAGAUCUUCGGGACAGACGUAUCGUCAAAGGGAGAGGCACCAGUGCAGAGUGACCCUGCCAGCUCCCCUUCCCAGAAUACGCCCCACCCUCUGCACCGAGGAGCCUGGAAGCUGAAGCCCCCUCUCAUCCCCAAAGCAGAGUUCAGGCUGGAAGCCACACCUCCAUACCCAGGCCCUCUCCUGGAGUCACCGCUAGGCCUUCUCUGGAAGAGCUUCAGCUGAUUUCUUCCCCAGGACCUUGAUCAGCCAUACGUGAUCCAGCCACACAGAGGAGACGAGAAAAGUAAAAGAUUCAGAUCGGUUUUCCAGUACUGGCACCUGAAAGCCCCAUAGCCCUGCUGCUGCAACAGGAUCAUCGCACUGUCUGAACCUGGUGGACCCCGAAGAAGAAACGACUUUAUUUUUCCUGGCUCCACGGCCUUUGGCAACACUGGCUUGAGUCUCCUGUUCCUGGCUCUUAAAUAACAGCUGGGGCCAAUCCCAGAGCUUUGGGUCACUCUUGGGUAUAAGGAAGUCCAGUCCGGUCUAGUCCAGGGUAAAACUUGAAUCUCCAAUCCAUUUUAAUGCUCGUAUUCUCCCUGUGCCCAGAACAGACCCUCCUGCAGCUGAAGGGACUUGCAAAGGGGAUAAGAGAUGUUCUUCUCCCCACCCCCACCUUCUAUUUCUGGCCCUUCCAGAGUCUCAGGCCGGGGGGGAGAGGACCUGAAAAGACCAUGGACGCCCUCUGUGGGGCCUGGCUCCAAGUGCUAGCUCUCCUGGCCCCAUGUGGGGUUGUCGGAAUACAUGCAGGAGCCUCCUCUCUGCCACAGAUGGGCAAGCCACAGUCCCCACAGGCUCUAGCCCUUGGGGUUCCCCCCCACCCACAGCCUCCUCUGGCCCCCCCAAGGCCUGCCUUCUGGGGUGGAAUAUUGUAAAAAUCCAAAGGUGGCCCAACCACCUGCCAGGGUCCACUCGGCUCCGAGGACCCUUACACACCCUGACCGUGCCAGGCGGUGGCCCUGCAGACAGCCCCCAGGGACCCCAACACCUCUCUCCAAUGCUCUUCACCCUGGUUCCAGAGGAUGGAGGAGCAAGUUCAUUUCCAGGCAGACAUCCAGCCCGGGAAGAUGAUUUCACCUCCGCGUCUUGUCGUUUCCACGAGGGAUUCCUGGGUGCCCGCUGCCCCCACCUGGCUAAGCCCGGGGAGGAGCGAACCACAGCCUUCUUCCCCCAGGCUGAAACCUCGCAGCUAAAGGGAUCCUCCCUCCUCUUCUCUGAUCUCCUGCUUAUGCAUCCAGGCCGGGAGGACUGAGGACCUCUCUUUGUGCUUGACUGUGAAUCUGCCACGUAGCAAAUGCCAAGGUAGGAGAAAAAGUCAAUCCCUGUUGUGUAUCUUUCAAACCAGGUCUUUCCUGUACUCUCGCGGAGCAAGCGCUUUCUCUUAAUGUCUGGGCCAGAUCUCACGGACUUAGCACUACUUGUUCUCAUCUGGCUGGUUCCAGGCUUCUGAUGGUGUUCUGGUCUAGAAGCCUGGUCCCACGAUGAAAUCCACUCCUGCUCGCUCCCAGCUCCACAUCACCCACAGAUUCGAUAAUUCAGCUUUCUGGGCUGUUAUUCAAGCCUUUGAUGAAAAGAUCAAAGACAACAGGACUGAAUAGAGGACCCUUAAUUCAGGGUGACAUUUAUUCCAGCCUGUCCUUGGUGAACUGCUACUGGCUCCAGCUACUUACCACUUCCUGUUAUCUGAGCUCUAAAACUGUCUGUCUAAUCAGGGCUCACAGGUGCCUGGGCUCCAGUCUACAGCUCCCUCGUCUCCCAGGAUGUCAGUGACCUGGGCUAGGGAUUUGGACUCGCUGAAAAUAGCAAGUGCUUCCUCGCCCAGCUCUGCCAACCCCCUUCCCCCACCACUGCAUCUAGGCAUCUUCAUUCAGCUCAGCUCUGCCCAGCCACACCCCGGCCCCAGCUCCCAAGCAAGCACCGCCUCGCUCAUCCCCUUCCAGGCUCAGCCUCGGCUCCUCUCUCAGGCAACUGGUCUGCCCCUGAGGGGAGGGGCAGGAAGACCGUCACUGAAGCACCCAGAUGACUCAGAUGACCCCAAGAGUUGAGAUCUGCUGACGUCCAGGACCCUUCGGUCGGCUGGGGCUGGGGUGGGUGGAGCAAAGCAUAUUUAUUAAGCAAGAGCCAGGAGCUGGGCUAGGUGUGUUAGCGCAAUUAUCUCUGUCUCCUGGGUGAGGAGCGGUGAGGGAGGUCACAGCACUGGCCUAACGUCCCCGACCAACCAGUUCAGGGGCAGAACCAGGUUCUGAUCUAAGCCUCUGCCCUCUGUUUGCUCUCCUUCCAGGUAGUUAGGGACCCCGUCACUGUCUCCGCAGCCUCCGGAAGACAGAGGAAGCCGGAGCACAGCCCAUCCUGAGCCCCCAGGAGGGAGAAGCAGGUUGAGGGCGAGGGAAGGGGGGGCGGGGAGAAGUGCAUCCCUGACAUCAGGCUGCUGGGAAAUGAGUCCAGUGUUCCUGAGACCUGAAUGAUUUGGGAUUAAGCUUCCAGAUCUGGCACCACAGAUGCGAUAUGAAUCCGUUGCGGCCCCACCCCCAGCCCAUGGCAGGGAACAGAUGGACAGACCCCUCCCUGGGGUCUAAGUAGGGCACUGCUGAGGCUGCUGGGAGGCAGCAGGGGAGCCAAUCAGCCCUGGGGGGCAGAGCAGGGGCAGAUCCAGCUCCACCUCCCCUUCCUGGGCCCCCCACCCUCCAAGACAGUAGAAUCUGAGGGUCAGCUCUCUGCUGCCAACUGUGGGUGGUGCUGCCACACAAGGCAGAGACUCCGGACCCUGGAGCAGCACCGGUCAUUCAGGCACAAGUCAGGCCAUCCUUCCUAAGUCCCAAGUCCAUAGCCUGAGACCACUGGAAGCAACAAGGGACACAAACUUCCUCCUCGGGGCUCCAGAGCAAGGCAUGGGCAGCGUGGUGCUCAGAGCAUCAAGGUCCCGAGCAGGACCAGCCUUGUGUGGCCCUCCCGUCACCAUGAGCACAGCGGGAUGGGGCCAUGGGAGGCCAGACGGAUGCAGAAACAGAAAGAAGGCAACUGUCAGAGCUGGAGGGACCUGGGGACUCCUGAGUCCUCUUCCUGUUCAAGAAGCAAAGGCUGAGGCUCAGCAAGGAGAGGGGACAGGUGCACAGGGAACGGGUGACAGAGCCAGGGGCCCCUUCCACAUCAACGCAAACCACUGAGCUUAACUUGUAACAGCAAAACACAGGAACAGUCCAAAUAUCCACCCGCAGGCAAAGGGAUUAACCGACUGGGUGUUUCCAUGCUCAAGACUAGCGACCACUCAGCAACACGACUGGAUGAACCAAUGAUCCAUGCAAGGCGGCUAAGUCAUAAAGGACCAUGUCAAGUGACCAAAGUCAGACAAAGAGGAAGCAAUGUAGGAUUCUGUUCCUACCAAGCUCUGGAAAGAGUAAAGUAAUCUGGAGGGACAGGCAGUAGAUUGACAGCGACAGCGUCAGAAGGGGCAUUAAGAAGGGGUAUGGGAACGAUUUGGGGUCAUGGGUAUAUUCGCUGUCUUGGCUGUGCUGAUGGUUUUGCGGGCAAGUACACACACUGAGGAAGGGAGGAGGCGGACGCCCGGGAGAGCUGGCCGGGAGGGGAUGGACUUGGAGCAGAGCUGGCCUUGACAGAGCCGGCAUGGAAGGCUGGGAUGAUGCAAACGGCAACAGCCCUGCAGAGGCAGGCGUUUGAAUGAAGGCUCAGACAAAGCAGUGUUCUCAGAAGGAUCCAGAACAAUGGGAAGAGCCCAGGGCUGCCAGGGGGAUGAGGAAAGACGACCCAUGUACAUCUGCUCCAUGCACAUAUGUCUCUGGAGUCUCACAGUACCUACACUUAAGAGUAACCAUCAAAAGAAGGUUAUGGGAGAGAGGAACUAUCAAAAGAAGCAUGGGAGAGAGGAAGGAGGAGGGGAGAGAAGAGGAGCAUGGAAGAGACCCUGGAUGCAUCCACCAAGCUGGGCUCUGUGGAUAUAAGGGAGCCAGAGCAAAGGAAUGGUGCAUGUAACUCAGAGCUUCCAGGAAAUUUUCCUGGCAGCAAAGUGCAGGGACCUCCACUCUGUCCGGAUCAUGCACCUGCUCUCUGGAAGGGCUGGUGCAUCUCCUUACCAGCCUGGAUGGCGGAGUGGCAGGGAGCACACAGCAGGCCCUUCUCCAAGAGUUGGGAGGGCCUGGGAUGCCCCAGCUUCUGCUCCCAGAGCAGAGAACAAGCUACUCCCCUCGCCUCCCAGGGAGGCCAACGAGGGCCUGUGGCACAGCCAGGAAGGGCAAAGAUUUCCAAAGCUCUGUGAUGGAAUCUCUCCCUGGUUCUCCCUGUCCUCACGUUUCACAGGCACCUCCAACCCACAGCUCAUAUCUUCUGGAAGCGGCAGUAGCCCCAGCAGCCCUGCCUCCAGGGCAGGAAGGAGGAAUACAGGCCUGCAGGAGUGUGCUGGGCCCAGGAGGGGCAAGUACAACAUGUCUACUUGGCUCCUCCACCACCUAACUGCUCAGAAGACCCAAGCCCCUCCCCCAGAGCCAGCUCUGGGCAAACGAAUAGGCUCCCUGGAUGAUGGGCCCGCUGUCUGCCUGGACCAGACCGCUGUCAGACUGUCCCCAAUUCAACCAUCAAAAAUGAACAGCCCCUGCCUUCACUCCAUCCCUCUCUGGGGCGUGAAAAUGAAGCUUGUAAUCUACCAUACCCGGCACAGCACUUUACAGUCGACCCCUUCAUCUCCUUCCUGAUCCUGUGAAGCAGCUAAAAUCAUGCCCACCCUCCAGAUAAGGGUUUCACACUUCAGCUGGGCCUGUGGACCUGUCUACGGUCCCACAGCUAACGUUUAGGGGGAGGGAACUUAAAGCUUCCAAGCCAGCUUGCCAAAGGGCCAGAAGCAUGAGGACCAGACAGAUUCUCACUGGGAAGCUUGCGGCCAGCACCGGGCAGAACACAUCACUGCACAAGACCCGGUCAGAGUUAGAAGGAACCCCACAGGCAUCCCAGCCGGCUUCGUCUCACCCUUCAGGCAACUGAAGCCUGAGAAGGACCAAGGAGGCGGUCAUGGGAAAUUGUACUUUAAGCUCCUGGGAACUGAGAGACUAAGAAUCUAGGAGCGGCCCCGACCGGCUGGCCCUGGGGGUCCUUGAUGGUGGCAGAGGGUGCACAGGCAGAGUUACAAGGGGUGCAGGCUCAGCCCAUCCCCCAUUCCCAUAGCACAGGCAGACACGCUGAGCCUGUCCCCCAGAAGCCAAGGCCACGUUAAAAUUCUCCAGGACAGGGAAGAGAGCAGCCACCAGGUGCUGGCACGAUGGGAGGCAGGCGUCACCCUCCCCAUUUUGCAAAGAAGCCAAGGCUCCGAAGGUUGAACAACCUCCGCAACGGCACAAGUAGGAAGGAGCAGAGUCGGGACGAAAAAACGCAGCAUUCGUCCCACCACCCUCACUCCCCUCAGGCUGGGCUACUGGGCUGCCGGGGGACUUGCCCGCAGCUCAUCGGCUCAGCCUCCAGCCCUGAGAUGAGGUCUCUGGGGUCCUUCCGCUGGGCUUCUCCAUCUGGCAUCAUUCAGGGCUGACUCCUGGCCCCUCACCCAAGAUUGCCCUCAUCAGACAGUGCAGAGGCAGUCAGGCCUGCCAGGAGCAAUUCACCAGAUCCACAACUUGAGAAUCUCCAGGGAACCAACCUGGGAAUCUGCAUUUUAACAGGAGCCUUCCGGAAGCACAAUUUUGGAGAAAGAACGUGCGAAAGACUGGCAUCUGCUGCUUUCAGCAAAGAUCCUCCCCAGGUCUCUCCAGGUUGGAGAAAGGAAAACCUAUUUGCAGUCUCUUCUCUCAGGGCUAAAGCGAGCUGGAUGCCCCUCCCCCGCCUCCCACCACCCCCGGGGGGGGCGGGAAUCAAAAAGGAGCGCCUUCUGGGAGGCACAACUUCCGGGGGUGAAAACCCUUCCCCUUGGCGGGGAGGGGAAGAUGCCCCUUCCUCCAGGCACCUCCACGGCUCAGGUGGGGGCGGAGCCAGGAGGCGCCGAGGCCCCGCCCACGAGGUCACCUCCAGCUCCGGAUUACGUGCCCUGCCUGCCCCCUCCCGGCUAAAACCCAUCUUCUGCUGUCAAGAAAAAGGUCGUCUGCCUGGAGUCGCUGAAAAUUACACGUUAACAGCCUUACAGAUUUCCAGCAGUUUCAAAUGCUGGCUUUGGCCAAAAACUUCUUUAAAAGGCCAUCCUCCCUUCUUAUUCCAUAGCGUUUACAUUUUAUAACAUUUAAACAGAACCGCUUUCAAACACAGAUAGGCAGUACUUUCCUGACAUGUCCCCAUAAAAAGUAAAAUCUGGGAAGCGUCUGCGGUGGACGGCUGGGGAAUGCCUUCUGUGCCCAGCAGUGAUUAGCUCCAUCUGCAAAAUAGUUCCCAACGCUGCUGCCUCAAACUAGGAGCUCCUUCCUCCGAGAAGCCCUCCUGCCUCCCGUCUGGGCUCCGUGCCAUGGAUAUCUGUCCACAGAAGACGUCCUUUGUUGAAGUUGCGGUUAUGGCUCAGUGGAAACGCAUCUGACUAGGAACCAUGAGGUUGUGGGUUUGAUCCUUGGCCUCGCUCAGUGGGUCAAGGAUCCGGUGUUGCCAGGAGCUGUGGUGUAGGUCGCAGAUGCGGCUCAGAUCCAGUGUGGCUGUGGUGGCUGUGGGUCGGCCAGCAGCUAUAGCUCCAGUUAGACUCCUAGCCUGGGAGCCUCCAUAUACC
rnacentral:lncRNA from 1 species